rnacentral:rRNA from 1 species
UACGUAGGGUGCAAGCGUUAAUCGGAAUUACUGGGCGUAAAGCAUGCGCAGGCGGUUUUGUAAGCCAGAUGUGAAAUCCCCGGGCUUAACCUGGGAAUGGCAUUUGGGACUGCAAGGCUUGAGUGCGGCAGAGGAGACUGGAAUUCCUGGUGUAGCAGUGAAAUGCGUAGAUAUCAGGAGGAACACCGAUGGCGAAGGCAGGUCUCUGGGCUGACACUGACGCUGAGGCACGAAAGCGUGGGGAGCAAACAGG